rnacentral:rRNA from 1 species
GGGUUGUGAGGUUAAGCGACUAAGCGUACACGGUGGAUGCCCUGGCAGUCAGAGGCGAUGAAGGACGUGCUAAUCUGCGAUAAGCGUCGGUAAGGUGAUAUGAACCGUUAUAACCGGCGAUUUCCGAAUGGGGAAACCCAGUGUGAUUCGUCACACUAUCAUUAACUGAAUCCAUAGGUUAAUGAGGCGAACCGGGGGAACUGAAACAUCUAAGUACCCCGAGGAAAAGAAAUCAACCGAGAUUCCCCCAGUAGCGGCGAGCGAACGGGGAGCAGCCCAGAGCCUGAAUCAGUGUGUGUGUUAGUGGAAGCGUCUGGAAAGGCGCGCGAUACAGGGUGACAGCCCCGUACACAAAAAUGCACAUACUGUGAGCUCGAUGAGUAGGGCGGGACACGUGGUAUCCUGUCUGAAUAUGGGGGGACCAUCCUCCAAGGCUAAAUACUCCUGACUGACCGAUAGUGAACCAGUACCGUGAGGGAAAGGCGAAAAGAACCCCGGCGAGGGGAGUGAAAAAGAACCUGAAACCGUGUACGUACAAGCAGUGGGAGCACAGAGCAAUCUGUGUGACUGCGUACCUUUUGUAUAAUGGGUCAGCGACUUAUAUUCUGUAGCAAGGUUAACCGAAUAGGGGAGCCGAAGGGAAACCGAGUCUUAACUGGGCGUUAAGUUGCAGGGUAUAGACCCGAAACCCGGUGAUCUAGCCAUGGGCAGGUUGAAGGUUGGGUAACACUAACUGGAGGACCGAACCGACUAAUGUUGAAAAAUUAGCGGAUGACUUGUGGCUGGGGGUGAAAGGCCAAUCAAACCGGGAGAUAGCUGGUUCUCCCCGAAAGCUAUUUAGGUAGCGCCUCGUGAAUUCAUCUCCGGGGGUAGAGCACUGUUUCGGCAAGGGGGUCAUCCCGACUUACCAACCCGAUGCAAACUGCGAAUACCGGAGAAUGUUAUCACGGGAGACACACGGCGGGUGCUAACGUCCGUCGUGAAGAGGGAAACAACCCAGACCGCCAGCUAAGGUCCCAAAGUCAUGGUUAAGUGGGAAACGAUGUGGGAAGGCCCAGACAGCCAGGAUGUUGGCUUAGAAGCAGCCAUCAUUUAAAGAAAGCGUAAUAGCUCACUGGUCGAGUCGGCCUGCGCGGAAGAUGUAACGGGGCUAAACCAUGCACCGAAGCUGCGGCAGCGACGCUGAUGCGUUGUUGGGUAGGGGAGCGUUCUGUAAGCCUGUGAAGGUGUGCUGUGAGGCAUGCUGGAGGUAUCAGAAGUGCGAAUGCUGACAUAAGUAACGAUAAAGCGGGUGAAAAGCCCGCUCGCCGGAAGACCAAGGGUUCCUGUCCAACGUUAAUCGGGGCAGGGUGAGUCGACCCCUAAGGCGAGGCCGAAAGGCGUAGUCGAUGGGAAACAGGUUAAUAUUCCUGUACUUGGUGUUACUGCGAAGGGGGGACGGAGAAGGCUAUGUUGGCCGGGCGACGGUUGUCCCGGUUUAAGCGUGUAGGCUGGUUUUCCAGGCAAAUCCGGAAAAUCAAGGCUGAGGCGUGAUGACGAGGCACUACGGUGCUGAAGCAACAAAUGCCCUGCUUCCAGGAAAAGCCUCUAAGCAUCAGGUAACAUCAAAUCGUACCCCAAACCGACACAGGUGGUCAGGUAGAGAAUACCAAGGCGCUUGAGAGAACUCGGGUGAAGGAACUAGGCAAAAUGGUGCCGUAACUUCGGGAGAAGGCACGCUGAUAUGUAGGUGAAGUCCCUCGCGGAUGGAGCUGAAAUCAGUCGAAGAUACCAGCUGGCUGCAACUGUUUAUUAAAAACACAGCACUGUGCAAACACGAAAGUGGACGUAUACGGUGUGACGCCUGCCCGGUGCCGGAAGGUUAAUUGAUGGGGUUAGCGCAAGCGAAGCUCUUGAUCGAAGCCCCGGUAAACGGCGGCCGUAACUAUAACGGUCCUAAGGUAGCGAAAUUCCUUGUCGGGUAAGUUCCGACCUGCACGAAUGGCGUAAUGAUGGCCAGGCUGUCUCCACCCGAGACUCAGUGAAAUUGAACUCGCUGUGAAGAUGCAGUGUACCCGCGGCAAGACGGAAAGACCCCGUGAACCUUUACUAUAGCUUGACACUGAACAUUGAGCCUUGAUGUGUAGGAUAGGUGGGAGGCUUUGAAGUGUGGACGCCAGUCUGCAUGGAGCCGACCUUGAAAUACCACCCUUUAAUGUUUGAUGUUCUAACGUUGACCCGUAAUCCGGGUUGCGGACAGUGUCUGGUGGGUAGUUUGACUGGGGCGGUCUCCUCCUAAAGAGUAACGGAGGAGCACGAAGGUUGGCUAAUCCUGGUCGGACAUCAGGAGGUUAGUGCAAUGGCAUAAGCCAGCUUGACUGCGAGCGUGACGGCGCGAGCAGGUGCGAAAGCAGGUCAUAGUGAUCCGGUGGUUCUGAAUGGAAGGGCCAUCGCUCAACGGAUAAAAGGUACUCCGGGGAUAACAGGCUGAUACCGCCCAAGAGUUCAUAUCGACGGCGGUGUUUGGCACCUCGAUGUCGGCUCAUCACAUCCUGGGGCUGAAGUAGGUCCCAAGGGUAUGGCUGUUCGCCAUUUAAAGUGGUACGCGAGCUGGGUUUAGAACGUCGUGAGACAGUUCGGUCCCUAUCUGCCGUGGGCGCUGGAGAACUGAGGGGGGCUGCUCCUAGUACGAGAGGACCGGAGUGGACGCAUCACUGGUGUUCGGGUUGUCAUGCCAAUGGCACUGCCCGGUAGCUAAAUGCGGAAGAGAUAAGUGCUGAAAGCAUCUAAGCACGAAACUUGCC